CCUCUCGGGGUUCAGCCUUGCUGAAUUAUUCACCCUUGUCUUUUGCGUACUUCUUGUUUCCUUGGUGGGUUCGCCCACCACUAGGACAAACAUAAACCUUUUGUAAUUGCAAUCAGCGUCAGUAACAAAUUAAUAAUUACAACUUUCAACAACGGAUCUCUUGGUUCUGGCAUCGAUGAAGAACGCAGCGAAAUGCGAUAAGUAGUGUGAAUUGCAGAAUUCAGUGAAUCAUCGAAUCUUUGAACGCACAUUGCGCCCUUUGGUAUUCCAAAGGGCAUGCCUGUUCGAGCGUCAUUUGUACCCUCAAGCUUUGCUUGGUGUUGGGCGUCUUGUCUCUAGCUUUGCUGGAGACUCGCCUUAAAGUAAUUGGCAGCCGGCCUACUGGUUUCGGAGCGCAGCACAAGUCGCACUCUCUAUCAGCAAAGGUCUAGCAUCCAUUAAGCCUUUUUUUCAACUUUUGACCUCGGAUCAGGUAGGGAUACCCGCUGAACUUAAGCAUAUCAAUAAGCGGAGGAAAAGAAACCAACAGGGAUUGCCCUAGUAACGGCGAGUGAAGCGGCAACAGCUCAAAUUUGAAAUCUGGCUCUUUUAGAGUCCGAGUUGUAAUUUGCAGAGGGCGCUUUGGCUUUGGCAGCGGUCCAAGUUCCUUGGAACAGGACGUCACAGAGGGUGAGAAUCCCGUACGUGGUCGCUGGCUAUUGCCGUGUAAAGCCCCUUCGACGAGUCGAGUUGUUUGGGAAUGCAGCUCUAAAUGGGAGGUACAUUUCUUCUAAAGCUAAAUAUUGGCCAGAGACCGAUAGCGCACAAGUAGAGUGAUCGAAAGAUGAAAAGCACUUUGGAAAGAGAGUCAAACAGCACGUGAAAUUGUUGAAAGGGAAGCGCUUGCAGCCAGACUUGCUUACAGUUGCUCAUCCGGGUUUCUACCCGGUGCACUCUUCUGUAGGCAGGCCAGCAUCAGUUUGGGCGGUAGGAUAAAGGUCUCUGUCACGUACCUCCUUUCGGGGAGGCCUUAUAGGGGAGACGACAUACUACCAGCCUGGACUGAGGUCCGCGCAUCUGCUAGGAUGCUGGCGUAAUGGCUGUAAGCGGCCCGUCUUGAAACACGGACCAAGGAGUCUAACAUCUAUGCGAGUGUUUGGGUGUCAAGCCCGAGCGCGUAAUGAAAGUGAACGGAGGUGGGAACCCGCAAGGGUGCACCAUCGACCGAUCCUGAUGUCUUCGGAAGGAUUUGAGUAAGAGCAUGGCUGUUGGGACCCGAAAGAUGGUGAACUAUGCUUGAAUAGGGUGAAGCCAGAGGAAACUCUGGUGGAGGCUCGCAGCGGUUCUGACGUGCAAAUCGAUCGUCAAAUUUGGGCAUAGGGGCGAAAGACAAUC
rnacentral:rRNA from 1 species